CGUCCUUCAUCAGAAAUAGAGACGUUCGUCAGCGACACUCGGAGCUCACUGUUGGAGAAAUUCACCAGCUGAAACCUGCUGUCCUUCAGCGGUCUGAAAUCUCUGAAAUAAAUGGUCUGUCUGUUGGGAUUAAGGAGCUGAAUCACGGAGUCGUCGCUGUUUUUGACUCGACAGCUGAUGGUGGCAACGUCCCCCUCCACUACCGUCACAUCUUCUGUUAUCAAGUUCUGGCCAUCACCUCUGGGGAUGAUGGCGGCGGCGGAGAGGAGCAGGAGGAGCAGCGGGAGGAGGGCCGGAGCGCCGCCGCCGUUCGCCGCGGGGCCGCUGUGCUGCGCGCGAGCCGCCAUCUCCGGCACCUGCUUCGCUCUGCCCGCCGCGCCGGCACCUAGCGACCGCGCGCCGCGAUAAUGAGAUGCGCGACGUCACGGCGCGGGGCGGGGCCUGCGCCAAGCCACGCCCCCUCCUCGCCAGCCCCGCCCUCCGCGCCGUGGGCUCAGCGCCGCGCCCCGCUCCGCUCGGGAUGCAGCGGGACGGGCCGCGGGGAGACGGCUCGGAGAGGGGCCGCCGCCGCUGCCGGGAUGGUUUUUAUGGAGGGCGGCCCUAAGCGCAGCCCCGCCCCGCAGCCCCGCGCAGCGCGGCCGGCUCUCCAGCCCGCCCCCCCUCCCUCGCAGAACGCGGCCGCUGGGGGCGGUGCGGAGCCGGGCGGCGGCCGCGAGGAGCGCAGCGGGGCCGGGAUGGGGGUUGCGGAGGGAUUUGGAGCAGUUCUGUUUACGUCGAGUCAACGAGCUGCCCUUUCUCGCUGCUUUUCUUACACCGCGCCGAGCCAGGAGAGGUUUUUCUCUCCGCCUUAAUAAAUGGGGAGCGGGGCACGGAGCCCCUGAGCAGCGCUCACCUGCGAGCAGGAGGCAGCUCCCAACCUCCCUCCUUCCCUCCCCCCAGCAGCAUCCCGGCCCCGCACGGACGUCAGUAGCUCUGACAUUAUUAAUUAGGUUAUCCCACGUGAGCCUGAGGCAGGUGAGGCGUCAGCUUAACCUCAUCAUCCCAUCCUCCUCCGAGCCCCAGAUUGGAAGUGCUCAGGGCCAGCGUUGAGUCACAGCGCAGGUGGAAGAGCCCUCCCCCCCCUCCACAUGGCUCCCGGCCCGGUUUCACACCUGGGGAGAUAGCACACGCCUCUCCGUGCCCCAUAUGCU
rnacentral:lncRNA from 1 species